GGAGUGGCUGGUACUUUUCCAGAAGUUAGUAUUCUGAAUGGGACUGGUGCAAAAAAUGAGAAAAUAAGCAGGAAAUGGCUGAAUCUUUUGACUGACCACUAAGUAAAGUCUGGCUUCUUUACUGAUCUAGGAUUGAACAUCAUGCUAAAUAAAAAAUAAAAGACUUA